UACGUAGGGGGCAAGCGUUGUCCGGAAUCAUUGGGCGGAAAGCGCGUGUAGGCGGCCAGAUAAGUCCGCUGUGAAAUCUCGAGGCUCAACUUCGAGCUGUCGGUGGAAACUGUCUGGCUAGAGUCCGGAAGAGGAGAAUGGAAUUCCUGGUGUAGCGGUGAAAUGCGCAGAUAUCAGGAAGAACACCCGUGGCGAAGGCGGUUCUCUGGGACGGUACUGACGCUGAGACGCGAAAGCGUGGGGAGCGAACAGG
rnacentral:rRNA from 1 species